CCUACGGGAGGCAGCAGUGGGGGAUAUUGCACAAUGGGGGAAACCCUGAUGCAGCGACGCCGCGUGAGUGAAGAAGGAUUUCGGUAUGUAAAGCUCUAUCAGCAGGGAAGAAAAUGAUAGUACUUGACCCAGAAGCCACGGCUAACUACGUGCCAGCAGCCGCGGUAAGACGUCGGGGGCAAGCUUUAUCCGGAUUUACUGGGUGUAAAGGGAGCGUAGACGGUUAUGUAAGUCUGGAGUGAAAGCCCGGGGCGCAACCCCGGGACUGCAUUUGAAACUGGGUAGCUUGAGUACAGGAGGGGCAGGCGGAAUGCCUGGUGUAGCGGUGAAAUGCGUAGAUAUCAGGAGGAACACCGGUGGCGAAGGCGGCCUGCUGGACUGAAACUGACGUUGAGGCUCGAAAGCGUGGGGAGCAAACAGGAUUAGAUACCCUAGUAGUC
rnacentral:rRNA from 1 species